CCAUGCCCAGCUAAUUUUUGUAUUUUUAGUAGAGACGGGGUUUCACCAUAUUGGCCAGGAUGGUCUCGAUCUCUUGAUUUCGUGAUCUGCCCGCCUCAGCCUCCCAAAGUGCUUUUAAUAUAUCCCACUGAUUUUUUUAGUAUUUCGUUAUUUUCUGACAAGAUAAUGCUCUAGGCUUAUCUUGUAUUUUCCUUGCCCAGCCCAGGAAUCAGCAGUUUCUCCAAGGAGUUUCUUUAAUAGGUAUGUAGUAGUAGUAUAUAGUAGUUUCUUAGUUUCUUUUAGUAGGUAUGUCAUUUAGAAGCUAAAAUUGGCACUAGGUAUUCACACUGAUACUGGAUAUCAUUGCUUUGAGGCAUUUCAGCAGACAGAACUAGGAAAAUUUAUGCAAAUAAGUGUGUGUAUAUAUAUGUGGGACACAUGUAUAUAUGAAUACAUAUUUAUCAUACUUUUAAAUCAUGAGUUCAUACUGAAACUUUUAAUCCAACACCAUGGGUGCUUCUUUGCCUUCCCCCAUUCUGUAUUGUCUCUCUUACCACAGCAGUAAUAACCCUGGCUCCCAUUAUUCUCAAUAUAUUUCACUCAUUUGCUCAGUGCUACCAUAAAUACAAGUUUCAGAAUCACUACAGCUCUAUCAACAAUAAACCUUCUAAAGUUCA
rnacentral:lncRNA from 1 species